rnacentral:rRNA from 1 species
CGUGUAGGCGGUUUGGUAGGUCCGCUGUGAAAACUCGAGGCUCAACCUCGAGACGCCGGUGGAAACCAUCAGGCUAGAGUCCGGAAGAGGAGAGCGGAAUUCCUGGUGUAGCGGUGAAAUGCGCAGAUAUCAGGAAGAACACCCGUGGCUAAGGCGGCUCUCUAGUACGUGACUGACGCUGAGACGCGAAAGCGUGGGAGCGAACA